UACAGAGGUCUCAAGCGUUGUUCGGAUUCAUUGGGCGUAAAGGGUGCGUAGGCGGCGCGGUAAGUCGGGUGUGAAAUCUCGGAGCUUAACUCCGAAACUGCAUUCGAUACUGCCGUGCUUGAGGACUGGAGAGGAGACUGGAAUUUACGGUGUAGCGGUGAAAUGCGUAGAGAUCGGGAGGAACACCAGAGGCGAAGGCGGCGACCUGGACAGGCACUGACACUCAACUACGAAAGCGUGGGGAGCAAACAGG
rnacentral:rRNA from 1 species